rnacentral:rRNA from 1 species
UACGUAGGGUGCAAGCGUUGUCCGGGAUUAUUGGGCGUAAAGAGCUUGUAGGCGGUUUGUCGCGUCUGCUGUGAAAUUUCGGGGCUCAACCCCGAACUUGCAGUGGGUACGGGCAGACUAGAGUGUGGUAGGGGAGACUGGAAUUCCUGGUGUAGCGGUGAAAUGCGCAGAUAUCAGGAGGAACACCGAUGGCGAAGGCAGGUCUCUGGGCCAUAACUGACGCUGAGAAGCGAAAGCAUGGGGAGCGAACAGG